rnacentral:rRNA from 1 species
AGUGAACGCUGGCGGUAGGCCUAACACAUGCAAGUCGAACGGCAGCACAGUAAGAGCUUGCUCUUACGGGUGGCGAGUGGCGGACGGGUGAGGAAUACAUCGGAAUCUACUUUUUCGUGGGGGAUAACGUAGGGAAACUUACGCUAAUACCGCAUACGACCUACGGGUGAAAGCAGGAGAUCUUCGGACCUUGCGCGAUUGAAUGAGCCGGUGUCGGAUUAGCUAGUUGGCGGGGUAAAGGCCCACCAAGGCGACGAUCCGUAGCUGGUCUGAGAGGAUGAUCAGCCACACUGGAACUGAGACACGGUCCAGACUCCUACGGGAGGCAGCAGUGGGGAAUAUUGGACAAUGGGCGAAAGCCUGAUCCAGCCAUACCGCGUGGGUGAAGAAGGCCUUCGGGUUGUAAAGCCCUGUUGUUGGGAAAGAAAAGCAGCAGGUUAAUACCCCGCUGUUCUGACGGUACCCAAAGAAUAAGCACCGGCUAACUUCGUG